CUCAAUAUAUUCUUUUGAAAUACUUAAUUGUUGAAAAAGGCCUCUCAGAGGUCCCUCUCUCCCCGCUAAAAGGAAACAUAUCCCCCAGGGGCCAGCUUUGAACUCGCAAAUUGACUCAUUCAAAUCAUUAGACUAGAGCGCUUAGCUAGUGUUAAGAUCUGUGCUAACCAAAUUGGAACACAGAGAUAAAUAAACUGUGGCUCUUGUCCUCAAAAUGGCAAUUAACCAGCAGGAGCAAUAGAUCUGAACUGAGAAUUACGAGAGAAUAUGAUAGAUGCUAGACAGUAAAACCAGAAGGUCAGGGCCAGGUGAUUUUGCUCACCAUUUUAUCUCCAAGCACCUACAACCUGGCAGGCACUCAGUAAAUAGUGGCGGAGUGGAAACGUGAAAAGACGGAGACAGGAACAGUGCAUCGCAGGGUGGCAGAGGGGAGGUGACUAACUGAGGGAGGCGCGAUGGUGAGAAGACUGGGGUCACUCCAGGGAGGGAAUGACACCUGGUGUGGAUUGUGCUGUCGGAACACAGCAGACAGAUGGAAAGGAAAGAGCAUUUCUGAGGGAGGAACAGCAUGAACACAUACAACAUUUUAUCGAGCAGGAAGUAGCACCUGGGGGCCAGUGAUGAGGUCAGAAACGUGGAAAGCCCUGAUCACAUGGUCAAGGAGACUGGGCUUUAUCUUAGGGGUAAUGGAUGGUCCUUAAAGACUUUUGAGUAGAGCCUUAGCCUGCACAUCAGGCAUUAGCAUUAGCAUGGAGGGUGGACAGCAGUGGAGACAGACUGGAGGCCGGAAGCCAGUGAGAAACCACUGAAAUAGCCUAGUCUGCAAACGAUGGAGGCCUAAACUUGUGGAUUAUUGGGGGUAUUGGAAAAUAAGCCUGCAGGAAGGAAACCGUACCCUUAAGGACUCGCUAUAAAUAAAGCCUAAAGCCUCUGCCGGACUACUGCCUCUGCAACACUCAACAGACUCCCCAGGGAAGACGGAUCUGGCUACAGGUUCACCAUGAGAUUCUUUACCAUCCUGCUGCUGGCCACCUGAGCCUCCACAUCUCUCGCCAUCCUUAAUGAGCCAGAAGAUGAGAUCCACUUGCAGGCUCAACCCAUAAAUGCCCAUAAGUCUCAUGUUGGCAUCCUUUAGAGGGAGUUGGUGGUAGUGAAAGAUGGUCCAGUAAAUGAUGAAUUCUCCACCUGAGGAAGAAAUGGAGCAGAGACCAUCCCUCCUGGCGCUGGACCUUAAUCCUUCCUGCUGCACUAAUUGGCCAAGAUCUGGGGACCGGGAACAAUUUGAACAGCACUUCAUGCUGGGUAGUCAUUGAAGAUGACUAUAUCUCAUACCCAAAUGCUAGCAGCUGCUCAGCUGAUAUGUGAAAAGGACCAUGUCUCCAUUGAAAACCUUUCUGAGGAAUCUCUCAUCUCCAGAGAAGAGCUGGUUUUUGAAGAGGAUGACAUGACCAAAUCUACCAGGAGACCAAAACGUCAAAGGCCCGAGCUGCUUCACCCCAUCCCCCAGGAGGAGAGUAUCAGAAAUGCUGCCUCUCAGUCAGAAGAGACUACAGAACUCACUCCCAG